rnacentral:rRNA from 1 species
AUCCGGUUCACUUUAACACUGAGGCGUGACGACGAGGCACUACGGUGCUGAAGCAACAAAUGCCCUGCUUCCAGGAAAAGCCUCUAAGCAUCAGGUAACACGAAAUCGUACCCCAAACCGACACAGGUGGUCAGGUAGAGAAUACCAAGGCGCUUGAGAGAACUCGGGUGAAGGAACUAGGCAAAAUGGUGCCGUAACUUCG